AGCCACAGACGCUAGCGAAAUGUCAGGAAUAAACUUUUCUAGAACAUGGCCGCAGAGCCCGAAAAACCCACAAAAAAACUAUGGAUACCAGCCACGAAAGCAUUUGACUCUGGACUGUCUUUAGCUUCCGGAGAAUAUAUGCUUCGUUUGGCAUUUCGUGCAAAGGGCCAGGGAAAGGGUUGAACAUGUUAAGCAGAUAACUUGGUCUCUCUUUCACCCAACCCCACAUGAAAGGGGCCAGGAUAUUUAGGAAAAGACAACUCUACCACCCUCAAUACCAUCCCAUCCACUGUUUUGUUCAGACCCCCUUUUCCCCUUGAGAAGGUUGUAUCCAUCUUUUGGCUGUAUCCAUCCAAACCAUCUUUUCCUCUCACUCCUUCCUUAUCUGUUAGUCUAUUUCCAACUCCCUUUCCGCUGGCUGAAAUUACACUAAGGCACCUUGAAAUGGCCAAAGAAACCAAAGUUAGAUCUAUUUUCCAUUGCAUCUCAGCCCAUUUGAAUAAUAUUUGUUCCCCAUAAUUUCCAUUCUUCGUCAGUAUUAUUUAGUGAACCAGGCAUCUUUCUUUCCUUUGGGCACAUCUGCUCUUCACCGACUGCAGCUACAUAGUCUGUUUUCAAACUUUGUUAUAGCCUCCAUCCGGGACUGCAGUUGGCACUACUUGAAAUCGAAGUUGAGUAAAGGUGUGUAUUUUAGGGCAGCGCACUAAUGCCAAACAAGUUCAAGCCCCAUCAGCACAUCGCUGAUAUUUGAAAGGAGCAGGGCGUCCACUUCCAUUGCCAAGAACCUCACUGAAAAUAGAUUCUCCUAAGCCAAACCCAACUAUGCUUGCUAUUCACUGACCAUUGGAGAAAGCUCUUUGUACCCCUUGAGAAGUGUAGUCCACUUGCCGAUAUGCACCCAUCAGACAAAGAUAACCUUCUGGUCCUCGAGAUAUUUUGACAACUGUAAAGGACCCAGUUUGUUUGAGGCUGGCCCACCUCAGUAUGGGUGCGUUCUUUGUGGGAUCCUAACAUGUUCCAUCAGCCCUUUCACACUAUACAACUGUAGCACUUUUAAAUGUCUUCAGCAUCCUAAGGAGUCCUGGUAUUGGUGGUUUAGUGACCCAUAAGAGCUCUGUGGCUGAGAUUUCAGAAAACCCUUGGCUAAACUGCAAAUCCCAAGGUAUCAUAGGGCAGAACCAUGGCUGUUGAAAAGGAAUCAUAGUGCUCCAAUUGAGCAAAUUGUGAAAACUCUUAGCAGACAUCCUGAUCUGGUCACCUCUCCCUUCUCCAUGUUCUCUGAAUUUUAUCUGAAACCUGCCCUAUUCCGGAAGUCAACAAGAGCAAACCCUGUUGUUUGAAAUGAGCAGAUGCAUGGACUGUAUUGAUUUGAGGUCGAUUGGGGUUUUUUUUAAUGGUCUCCUCGAACAUCUUUAGGAAUGAAUAUAUUGAUUAUUGACCCCAGAGUGUGCUGCAGGAACUUAACUGACCCAAAGUCAUUAAGUACUUGAGAGUCACCCCAGUGCAUACUUUCUUCCGCCCCGUUCUCCAGCACCUAUACUUUCUGACCAAAUACCUGGCAUGGCACCAGAUCCACAUGCCACUCUGCCGCAUAGACGUUUCCAGCUUCGUUCCCUCCAGAGCCCCAGUUCUUGCAUAUAGGCUUGGCAUCCAGUGUUAAACCUAACCUGUUCUUAUAUGGUUUGCAUUACUCCGUCACCUCUUACUCUCACAGGACUUUGAUACUUUAUGAGUGGCUUCUUUGGUCAAGGGAUGAGCAGACUUAACCAUGAGUUGCCUUCGUCACCAUUGGGGUGUUUGCCUGCAGAGGGCAAGUAAAGCAAUACUCCUGCUUGAGUUCAGCCAGAGGGAAUGGGGUGACUGCUACCUUGUCCCACCUCUUUGGCUCUUCUUAAACUAUGUUUUCAGUGCUUGGCUUCUUGCUUCCGCCUCCCUUAUUGUUUUCAUCUUUCCAAUUCUGGUUUCCUUCCCUUGUUCCUCGAUAGGCUUUUACUCCCAAGAGGGUAUUGCUCAUGAAGAAGCUUCCUUAGGCUCAAAUGAAUGGGCCGCUGGCAUGCCUCUUUCCAUCUUCUAUCACCUCUCUCCCCAUCACAGACCCUGUUUCCAUAUGUGCAAGGUUUCAGCAUGGGGGGUUUUAAGGAGUCGUCGUAAGGAUGAGAGCAAGUCUAGCCUUUGUUUUUGGCGCCCUUGUUUCAUAGAAUAGAAUCAUAGAGUUGGAAGUGGCCAUCCAGUCCAACCCCUUGCCAUGCAGGAAAUCUAAAUCAAAGCGUCCCUGACAGAUGGCCAUCCAGCCUCUGUUUCAUAGAAGGAACACUUGGCAUUGGGCACAUUCCUUCUCCCUCUAAGACCAACACUUUAUACAACUUUCCUCUUCAGUCUUUAAUUCCUCUACCCCUUUACGGUGUCACAGUUGUCUUUUGCAAGGUGUGUGUGUGUGUGCAUAUUAGGCUGAAUUGUAAAACCUCAGUCCCUACUAGACGUCAACUACAGGUUAAGAGAAGGGAACAGAACAGGUUUUGAGAGGGGUGGCAUUGGGGGUGGCAAUGCAAGCCAGUGAUUCCGGAAGGAAGGCGAGCCCCCAAAUGGGGAAGCCGGGCCUUUUGCACCAUUUUAAGAGGGCUUUUUAUUUUUAUUUUUUGCAUUGUGUUUUUUGGAAUCCGGUUUAAAAAAAAGGAGGAAGAGGAGGAGGAGAAAAAAAAGCUGUUUAAAUAUUGCCAAUUGAUUAUGCAGUGACCUGAUUAAAAAAAAUAAAAUAAUAAUAAUAAUAAGCUAAUUUUUGGAGAAAGGAUUAAAAAAAACUUUGUAAUAUUUAUCACUUGCAAGCUAUGUUUAAUAAAGAAAGGAAUGGUUUAUACAUUUGGAUGUGGUGGACGUGUUGGAUUCUCUGUCUCGCCGUUGGUAUCAGUGGAGACGGGGGCAUCAUUUUGGAUUUCAAGAGGGAUUUCGUAUAUGGAUAUCUGGGUAUAAGACAGAUUUGUCCAGGAUGAAUUUCAGAAGUCACCCAUCGUAUUUGAGCAACGGUACCAGCCCCUGAAGACCCCAUCGCUUCCUCCUUUCUGGUGGCAAGAAGCCUGCAACUUUGGACACCUUCAUCCAUUGCAGGUCUAUUCGCAGCGGUUCGUCAGGAGCAAGAGGCCAGGUUUCCAGAAUCGGGAUGAAACCAAUUCCAAGCAUUAUAUUGUGAACUCCUCACUCUCUAAGCCAGCGGUUCUCAACCGGUGCAUCGCAAACUCUGUUGUCUCAGACCAUCGAAAAACACAUAUUUCCAAUGGUGCUAGGAACCGAGACACUGCAAUUUUAUGGUUGGGGUUCACCACAACAUGAGGAACUGUAUUAAAGGG